rnacentral:rRNA from 1 species
AUUGAACGCUGGCGGCAUGCUUUACACAUGCAAGUCGAACGGUAACAGGCCGCAAGGUGCUGACGAGUGGCGAACGGGUGAGUAAUGCAUCGGAACGUGCCCAGUAGUGGGGGAUAGCCCGGCGAAAGCCGGAUUAAUACCGCAUACGACCUGAGGGUGAAAGGGGGGGAUCGCAAGACCUCUCGCUAUUGGAGCGGCCGAUGUCAGAUUAGCUAGUUGGUGGGGUAAAGGCCUACCAAGGCAACGAUCUGUAGUUGGUCUGAGAGGACGACCAGCACACUGGGACUGAGACAAGGCCCAGACUCCUACGGGAGGCAGCAGUGGGGAAUUUUGGACAAUGGGCGCAAGCCUGAUCCAGCGAUGCCGCGUGCAGGAAGAAGGCCUUCGGGUUGUAAACUGCUUUUGUCAGGGAAGAAAUCUUCUGGGUUAAUACCUCGGGAGGAUGACGGUACCUGAAGAAUAAGCACCGGCUAACUACGUGCCAGCAGCCGCAGUAACAC